GGGCGAGCCAGAAGCAGAAGACAAGAGAAGAUCAAAUGCUGCGGCUCCUAUGAAUUUCCGCAGAUACUGCAUAGAAGGGGCCGCGGCAGUCCUGGGCUCCAUGCUGCUGGGGAUGGUCUUCUGCUGUGCGAUCUGUGUGUGGAGGAAGAGAAAACGGCGCCUCGCUGAAGCUUCAAGAUCCUAGCCCAAGAGCAGCAGCCGUCCCUUGGCCCUGGACAGCCGGACCGUCCACCGCAGCACCCUGAGAGCUGGGACAG